UGAAUACGAGAUGCUACGGCGUCGAAGCAGUGUAUGUCAGACUUCCAAGAAAAGCUCGCAAUGUCAUAAAUAAAGAAUGCCUGUACCAUAACCGACACAGGUGGGUAGGUAGAGUAUACUAAGGGGCGCGAGAUAACUCUCUCUAAGGAACUCGGCAAAAUAACUCCGUAACUUCGGGAGAAGGAGUGCCUUCUUUAAGAAGGUUGCAAUAACAAGAUCCAAGCAACUGUUUAUCAAAAACACAGGUCUCCGCUAAGUCGUAAGACGAUGUAUGGGGGCUGACGCCUGCCCAGUGCCAGAAGGUUAAAGAAGUUGGUUAGCUUUUGCGAAGCUGAUGACUGAAGCCCUGGUGAACGGCGGCCGUAACAAUAACGGUCCUAAGGUAGCGAAAUUCCUUGUCGGGUAAGUUCCGACCCGCACGAAAGGCGUAAUGAUUUGGAUACUGUCUCGGAGAGGGACUCGGUGAAAUAGACUUGUCUGUGAAGAUGCGGACUACCUGCACCAGGACAGAAAGACCCUAUGAAGCUUUACUGUAACUUGAAAUUGAAAUUGGACUUUAUUUGCGCAGUAUAGGUGGAAGGCGUUGAAAGUAAUCUUGCGGGAUUAGUGGAGCCAUCAGUGAGAUACCACUCCUAUAAUGUUAGAUUUCUAACUUUGGAUCAUGAUCUGGUCAAAGAACAGUUUCAGGCGGGCAGUUUGACUGGGGCGGUCGCCUCCCAAAUGGUAACGGAGGCGUACAAAGGUUUCCUCUGAACGGGUAGAAAUCGUAUCUAGAGUGUAAAGGCAUAAGGAAGCUUGACUGUGAGACCUACAAGUCGAGCAGGGACGAAAGUCGGUCUUAGUGAUCUGACGGUGCUGAGUGGAAAGGCCGUCACUCAACGGAUAAAAGUUACUCUAGGAUAACAGGCUGAUCUCCCCCAAGAGUUCACAUCGACGGGGAGGUUUGGCACCUCGAUGUCGGCUCAUCGCAUCCUGGGGCGGUAGUACGUCCCAAGGGUUGGGCUGUUCGCCCAUGAAAGCGGUACGCGAGCUGGGUUCAGAACGUCGUGAGACAGUUCGGUCCAUAUCCGGUGUAGGCGUUAGAAUAUUGAGAGGAGCCUUCUUUAGUACGAGAGGACCGAGAAGGACAUACCUCUGGUGUACCAGUUAUCGUGCCAACGGUAAACGCUGGGUAGCUAUGUAUGGAGAGGAUAACCGCUGAAAGCAUCUAAGUGGGAAGCCCACCUCAAGAUGAGUAUUCUC
rnacentral:rRNA from 1 species